rnacentral:rRNA from 1 species
AACGAACGCUGGCGGCAUGCCUAACACAUGCAAGUCGAACGAGACCUUCGGGUCUAGUGGCGCACGGGUGCGCAACGCGUGGGAACCUGCCCUUAGGUUCGGAAUAACUCCCCGAAAGGGGUGCUAAUACCGGAUAAUGUCUUCGGACCAAAGAUUUAUCGCCUUUGGAUGGGCCCGCGUUGGAUUAGCUAGUUGGUAGGGUAAAAGCCUACCAAGGCGACGAUCCAUAGCUGGUCUGAGAGGAUGAUCAGCCACACUGGGACUGAGACACGGCCCAGACUCCUACGGGAGGCAGCAGUGGGGAAUAUUGGACAAUGGGCGAAAGCCUGAUCCAGCAAUGCCGCGUGAGUGAUGAAGGCCUUAGGGUUGUAAAGCUCUUUUACCCGGGAUGAUAAUGACAGUACCGGGAGAAUAAGCUCCGGCUAACUCCGU